AUUGAACGCUGGUGGCAGGCCUAACACAUGCAAGUCGAGCGAGCGGCGGACGGGUGAGUAAUGUAUGGGGACUGCCCGAUAGCGGGGGAUAACUACUGGAAACGGUAGCUAAUACCGCAUACUAUCGGAUAACCCAUAUGGGAUUAGCUAGUAGGUGAGGUAAUGGCUCACCUAGGCGAAGUUCCCUAGCUGGUCUGCGAGGAUGAUCAGGCAGACGGGGACUAGGACCCGGGCCAGAGUCCGACGGAGGCAGCAGUGGGGAAAAGUGCACAAUGGGGGCAAGGCUGAUGCAGCCAUGGCGCGUGGAUGAAGAAGUCCCUAGGGUUGUAAGGUACUUUCAGUCGGGAGGCGUUACCGACAGAAGAAGCACCGGCUAACGCCGUGCCAGGAGCCGCGGUAAUAC
rnacentral:rRNA from 1 species